ensembl:lncRNA
AGGGGAGAGGGUGUUUUUUACGUGUUUGGAAUGCAUCCUUUGAAUUCGGACUGCAGCCAGAUGCAUACAUUUAGUCAUGUGAUUUCCAAGAAGAGUGUCGGGGUGGGGUGGUCACAUGUAUUACAAGAAAGAGAGAUUUGGUCAAAGACAGUACACUAUGAAGAUGAGCUAAAAAUGAUUCUCCAAUUCAAAUCCCCGAUUACACUUGUUGACGAUGUCAUGGCGACGUUGGCAAGCAAAACUCAUGCGUAGAAGCAAGUCAUCGGGUCUAAUGGUCAUCUUGCGCCGAACUGCGCAUGUGCUGGCAGUGUUCUGUUUAGUCUAUUUCACAACCGUUCCUGGAAAUCUUGCGAUGCUGCGCCUCUGGGUUUAGAAACUCUGUGAUUUAGUCUAUAAAACAGGUUGUCAGACACCAGUCUACAUCUGGGUAGAGAAACAUCCCAUACAUUCUGAAAUAUGUGCUGUACUUGGCGUCUACUCUGAACAUCUACUUGUGAUUUCUGUCUGGUUGACAGCCAUCGGCAAACUUCGAUGACUUAAGGUAGACCAGAAAAGCCACAUCCCGAAUUGGCAGAUGAGCAGCAACCCUGAUUAGAAGCACCUGCUGCUCAAUGCUGUUUUGAAUUCAAAUAAAAUUGUACCUAAACACUGAAGGCUGUAAAGAAACACAGAGGAUGGUGGCAGUUAUAUUGUCUUAAGAAAGUCGGAGACCUACAAGAUCAACAAGAGAAUGGGUGGAGAUUGGUCAAAAGAUCGAGCGGAUCAGGCAGAGAGAGACCGCGAUCAAGCCAAAACUGAUAAACAGAAAGCGGAGGAGGACAAACAGAACAUGGAGAAGGAAAAGAAAAAGACAGAAGAGGAUUACAGGCAGCUCUUUGCUGAGAAAGUGAGAAUGGAAACAGAACAAAAGAUGGAAGAAAAACAAAGACAGGAGCUUGAGAAGGAAACUCUAAAAGUAAUAGAACACAAUAGACAGCGAGAGAAAAAUGAAAAGACAAGAAUUCAGCUGGAAAAUGCAAAAGGAGAUCAAAAAACUGUAUGAAAUGUAUCCACAUAUUAAGAGACAAAUGCAUAAACGGUUAAAUGAUCCACAUAAUGAAUUAUUGGACAAGGCACACAAUCAUUGUAAACCUUUAAUAUCCACAAUUGCGCUGCCUGUUUUAUUUUCCCCAAAUGAUGUUGUUAAAGGGAUAGUUCACACAAAUGACAGUGGUUUAAUAACCCUGUUAGCCGUUUUUGUUUACCUGGCUGCUGCCACCAAAUGCUUUUCAAACCAAUGCCUGUCAAUAUCUGAGAAUCCUCUGUAGCUUUGCAAUAAAAAGA